CUUUGGCAGUAAUAUAUGUUCGGUGAACGUUAUUUGUAUUAUGAAAACUAGCAAAAAUACAUUAUGUUGACCAGUAAAAACAGUGUUUUAGCGAGUGAAAACAUAGAUACGUGUGUAUGUAUAUGUGUUUUUUUUUUUUAUGAUAAUAAAAAAUAAUAAAUUAUAAUUAUUUUAACACAAACUUAACUUAUAUAGAUUAACAAGCUAAAACUUCAAUUCGGAAAGAAAACAACAGAAAAACCUCCUAAGAAAGUAUCGAAGUUUUAUGUAAUGGGAUAACAGCACAGCAAGGCAAAAAUAACAGUAAGAGAAUUAAAUGGCACUGAAUUUCAUUCUCAUUUCAAAAAAUCUCUGUAUUUGCAAAAGCAAUGUCAGUGCAAUAUGCAGAACAGAGAAAAAUGAUAGAAGAUAGCAUGGCAAAAACAAGAAGAUCCAGAAUGAGAAAUGAAUCAUCCACAAUUUCUUUUCCCUUCUAAUACUAUUAUUCUUUCAGCCAAUGAUAAUCCUUCAAUUUGGUGUUUGUUAUUUUGGACUGAGAGCCUCCACGUGCUUCUCACUCUCUCUCUCUCUCUCUCUCUCUCUCUCUCUCUCUCUCUCUCUCUCUCUCUCN
rnacentral:lncRNA from 1 species